UCUAAGGAAAAAAACAAUUCACAGGUAUCUAGGCGAAGAGAACAAUAACCGAACCAGAAAAAUAAAAAUUCUCCCAUAGAAGAUUACCUCGUCAUCUAGCAAACUAGACACUUGUAUUGAUUGAUGAUGCCAGAGUUUCCCCGAUCAAACCAUUCGGAAUCCUGAAUGGAGUGAUGACGACCCUCUCAAAGUUGCUUUUUCAGUGUGUAAUGUUCAACAAGACGAUGAAACCGGAUACAUCCGACAUGGAUUCUAACGAGGUCUUGUUGGGACUCGGCAGACACGCGCUCAUUGAUAGUACAAAAUG